ensembl:lncRNA
ACCUCGUCGCUGUGUGACGCCUGACUGACAGUCUGUGGUCGUCUGUAAGUAGUGAUAGAAGAAGAAGAGGUGCUCCAUGUGGACAUGAAGGACAAAGCUGUGUGUGAGAGUGAUGUAAUGUCCAUGUCUCCAUGCUGCUCUGACCCCCCUCCUCCUUUCAGGGUGGAGCCUGAUGGAGUCCGAUGGUUGAGACCAGGUCAGAGGAAGUGUAAGUGUGCUUUUAUUCAUGAAGAUUCAACCAUCUUCCCACUGUGACAUAACUCAUUCACCUCUGUGACGGGGGGGGGGGGGGGGGGGGGGCGGACCACACAGAGGAGACUAAGGUGUGUCCCCGUCUGUGCCACAUCUGUGCCACAUCAUGUUGUCAUCGGGCCGAAGCGGGAAAAAAAAGGGACACGGCCCAAAGUUUUGUUUGGUGAACUGAAACCAUAAACUCUCCCACCAAAAGGUUUUCAGGUAUAUAUUUAGCUUUAAGGGCCGUGGUGGCUUAAAAUCGUAUUAUUUUUUAUUUCUUUAUGGGAAACAACUUGAUACUCUUCUCGGUUUAACAACAGUAGAAGCAGGUGACUAAAUUGGCCAGAUAUGAGUGCAAACAAUGCUUGUUGGUCUACUUUUUUGCCCUUUGUAAUUAUGCUCUUUGUUCAAACUAUGCACUCUCUUUGCUUAUGACCACUAGUAUCUACCACAGACUUUUUUUUCCGCCCUUCAUAAAUAGGUUUGUUUUGUUUCCUUUUUUUUUUAAAUCUUCAAAUGACUUGAACCAGUUAUGUUAAGAUAACUCAUUAUGCUUGUAGAUCUUUGGCUUUAUUUGUCAUUGGGAUGCAGUACACCCAAAAUUUAACACUUUCCUCUCAAUAAAUACGAGAAACAAUUUUGUAAAUUUCCAGAACCAGCAGUGAUUCUGCCAUUGUUUCCUUUCAUUUCAGUUUGUAGAUUUCCGUUUGUUUGUCUGUUUAUUUGUUUUCACGGUCUUGUCAAACCUGUGUAAGGAUAAGAGGAUAGAAGUUAUAUUGGUUUUUAUGUCAAUAAAUUCAAGUUUACUGUGGCCAUCCACUCUUGUAUGUCUUUUGAAGCAUUAAAACCUAUUUGUAUGCAUGAAAUUGUAAAGUUUUUUUCUCGUGUUAUGAUAUCCAGCCCACGUGUUAUUGAUCGGGAUACAUCGGUUCUUCAAUGAUGAAUAAAGGGUCAUGUCCACAAUUGUGAAGUGGAGAGAAAAUGAUGAACUUGUAACUUACCAAAGCCAAUGUUCGUUUGUAGUAUAUUUAUUGUAUUAUUUAAAAUAAAAAAAUAAACAUUAAAUGAUACCAUAGUUUAAGUGUAAGAGGCCCCCUCUUUACAUGCACACAGGACAACGAAAGGUUUUGUUAAAAAAAAGUGAUAUAUUCACCACAUUUCUUGUUACUGGAGCCUUUCGCGAAGCGUUUGGCAACAUCUGUUUUAAGAUACAGCUGUGCUUGUGAGGUUUGCUAGAUGAAUGACAGGUAAGGCUACUGUCCACUCAGCCUCGUGGACGGUUGGUCGUGUCAAACAGCCGCGGGGCUGCGGCCUCGUGAUCGGGACGUGCGGCUUCCCCUCCCGUCGACUCUUCUCCGGCCGAAGAACCGGCCCCAAGAACCGGCCCCGAGAACCGGCCCCGAGAACCGGCCCCGAGAACCGGCUUGCAGAGCACCACUGCCGCCGUGGAAGCUGCAUCAUGACUCUUGCAGCGUUAUGCAUUUCUCCAUAACCUUUCUCAGCGAUCAUUAAAAUAAACCUAUUCUUAUUUUAACUCCCUCAUUCAGAAAUGUGUAAUAUUUGGUGCUGAUGACUUGCAGCACUUCGAAUGUCUGAUUAGUGGGAAAAAGUGCACGUUAAGCUUAGCACAGCAAAAGAAACCGAAAAAAAAAAGUUGUUGAGCGUGAUGAUCAAUAUUUAAUGCCG